rnacentral:tRNA from 1 species
GGAGAUAUAACUCAAGUGGCAGAGUGAAUAGGUUAUAAAUCCUAUUGGGUGUGAGUUCAAAUCUCGCUAUCUUCA